UUUUUUUCACCUUUAGCCUUUUGCUCAGCUCUCCACAAUUCAGUAUCAGAUUUCUUAAAUGACUACACUCCGUAACUUCUCUGCAUGAGCUUGGAGUAUCGCUUGUCAUGGCAGCUUCUCAAAUCACUGUGUGGAGGUUGAUUUCUGGAACCUUUGGAGUGAUAUGCCUUUCGCUGAUGGCUACUUUGGGAAUUUUAUUGAAAAAUGCAUUCUCUAAACAAAGUAUUCAACCAACAUUUUCUUCAGGACACAUCAAAGAAGAACAGAAAGUAUCUGAUUGCUGUUCUUGCCAAGAAGAGUGGAUUGGCUACCAGUGCAACUGUUACUUCAUUUCUGAUGAAAAAAAAUCUUGGGAGGAAAGUAGACAUUUCUGUGCGUCUCACAAUUCCAGUCUUCUUCAGCUCCAAAACAGUGAUGAAUUGGAUUUUAUGAACACCAACCAACGGCUUUUUUGGACUGGCCUUUCUUUUACUGAAGAACGUGAUGCCUGGCUGUGGGAAGAUGGCUCAGUUCCCUCCCAGGAUCUAUUCUCAUUGCUUCCAACUCCAACUCCAGGGUACUGCAUAGCAUAUAGUCCAAGGAAAGUAGCUGACUCUAGACCUUGUGCAAUCAAUAUCCAUUAUAUCUGCAAGCAAUAGCUUAUUUAAAUGUUUCUUUGAGCAGAGUGGUAAACAAUAAGGUCCAGAAUUACUAAGAGUGGCACCUUUUUUAUGUUAUUACUGCUGUCUACUUCAGAGGAUGCUACUGUGUAAUCCAGUCUGGCCUGAAACUAAGUAUAUAGCCCAUACUUGCCUGGACUUCGUGAUCCUCCUGCCUUAGUCUCC